ACGCUAGCUACAGGCUUAACACAUGCAAGUCGAGGGGCAGCAUGGUCUUAGCUUGCUAAGACUGAUGGCGACCGGCGCACGGGUGAGUAACACGUAUCCAACCUGCCGUCUACUCUUGGACAGCCUUCUGAAAGGAAGAUUAAUACAAGAUGGCAUCAUGAGUCCGCAUGUUCACAUGAUUAAAGGUAUUCCGGUAGACGAUGGGGAUGCGUUCCAUUAGAUAGUAGGCGGGGUAACGGCCCACCUAGUCUUCGAUGGAUAGGGGUUCUGAGAGGAAGGUCCCCCACAUUGGAACUGAGACACGGUCCAAACUCCUACGGGAGGCAGCAGUGAGGAAUAUUGGUCAAUGGGCGAGAGCCUGAACCAGCCAAGUAGCGUGAAGGAUGACUGCCCUAUGGGUUGUAAACUUCUUUUAUAAAGGAAUAAAGUCGGGUAUGCAUACCCGUUUGCAUGUACUUUAUGAAUAAGGAUCGGCUAACUCCGUGCCAGCAGCCGCGGUAAUACGGAGGAUCCGAGCGUUAUCCGGAUUUAUUGGGUUUAAAGGGAGCGUAGAUGGAUGUUUAAGUCAGUUGUGAAAGUUUGCGGCUCAACCGUAAAAUUGCAGUUGAUACUGGAUAUCUUGAGUGCAGUUGAGGCAGGCGGAAUUCGUGGUGUAGCGGUGAAAUGCUUAGAUAUCACGAAGAACUCCGAUUGCGAAGGCAGCCUGCUAAGCUGCAACUGACAUUGAGGCUCGAAAGUGUGGGUAUCAAACAGGAUUAGAUACCCUGGUAGUCCACACGGUAAACGAUGAAUACUCGCUGUUUGCGAUAUACUGCAAGCGGCCAAGCGAAAGCGUUAAGUAUUCCACCUGGGGAGUACGCCGGCAACGGUGAAACUCAAAGGAAUUGACGGGGGCCCGCACAAGCGGAGGAACAUGUGGUUUAAUUCGAUGAUACGCGAGGAACCUUACCCGGGCUUAAAUUGCAGAUGAAUUACGGUGAAAGCCGUAAGCCGCAAGGCAUCUGUGAAGGUGCUGCAUGGUUGUCGUCAGCUCGUGCCGUGAGGUGUCGGCUUAAGUGCCAUAACGAGCGCAACCCUUGUUGUCAGUUACUAACAGGUUCCGCUGAGGACUCUGACAAGACUGCCAUCGUAAGAUGUGAGGAAGGUGGGGAUGACGUCAAAUCAGCACGGCCCUUACGUCCGGGGCUACACACGUGUUACAAUGGGGGGUACAGAGGGCCGCUACCACGCGAGUGGAUGCCAAUCCCCAAAACCUCUCUCAGUUCGGACUGGAGUCUGCAACCCGACUCCACGAAGCUGGAUUCGCUAGUAAUCGCGCAUCAGCCACGGCGCGGUGAAUACGUUCCCGGGCCUUGUACACACCGCCCGUCAAGCCAUGGGAGCCGGGGGUACCUGAAGUGCGCAACCGCGAGGAGCGCCCUAGGGUAAAACUGGUGACUGGGGCU
rnacentral:rRNA from 1 species